GGUUAAGUAUGCUAAUUAAGCCCCUGGGCCCAUACCCCAGUUAUGUUGGUUAAAACCCCUCCUUAACUA
rnacentral:tRNA from 1 species